rnacentral:rRNA from 1 species
AACGAACGCUGGCGGCAGGCUUAACACAUGCAAGUCGAACGCACCUUUCGGGGUGAGUGGCAGACGGGUGAGUAACGCGUGGGAAUCUACCCUUCUCUACGGGAUAGCUCCGGGAAACUGGAAUUAAUACCGUAUACGUCCUGAGGGAGAAAGAUUUAUCGGGGAAGGAUGAGCCCGCGUUGGAUUAGCUAGUUGGUGGGGUAAAGGCCUACCAAGGCGACGAUCCAUAGCUGGUCUAAGAGGAUGAUCAGCCACAUUGGGACUGAGACACGGCCCAAACUCCUACGGGAGGCAGCAGUGGGGAAUAUUGGACAAUGGGCGCAAGCCUGAUCCAGCCAUGCCGCGGGAGUGAUGAAGGCCCUAGGGUUGUAAAGCUCUUUCAGUGGGGACGAUAAUGACGGUACCCACAGAAGAAGCCCCGGCUAACUUCGU